AAACUUAAUUCAUGGACAUCAAACCUGAACAUUGAAUAUAUGGAUAAAGAAUUGUUAUGCCCCCCUUCGAAGAAGAGGGGGUAUAUUGCUUUGCUCAUGUCGGUCGGUCGGUCUGUCGGUCCGUCCACCAGGUGGUUGUCAGACGAUAACUCGAGAACGCUUGGGCCUAGGAUCAUGAAACUUCAUAGGUACAUUGAUCAUGACUCGCAGAUGACCCCUAUUGAUUUUGAGGUCACUAGGUCAAAGGUCAAGGUCACGGUGACCAGAAAUAGUAAAAUGGUUUGUGAAUAAUAACUCAAGAACGCAUACGCCUAGGAUCAUGAAACUUCAUGGGUAGAUUGAUCAUGACUUGCAGAUGACCCCUAUUGAUUUUGAGGUCACUAGGUCAAAGGUCAAGGUCACAGUGACCCGAAAUAGUAAAAUGGUUUCCGGAUGAUAACUCAAGAACGCAUACGCCUAGGAUCAUGAAACUUCAUAGGUAGAUUGAUCAUGACUUGCAGAUGACCC